rnacentral:misc_RNA from 1 species
GAUGAAGAACGCAGCAAAAUGCGAUAAGUAGUGUGAAUUGCAGAAUUCAGUGAAUCAUCGAAUCUUUGAACGCACAUUGCGCCCCUUGGUAUUCCAUGGGGCAUGCCUGUUCGAGCGUCAUUUGUACCUUCAAGCUUUGCUUGGUGUUGGGUGUUUGUCCUGAGGGACUCGCCUUAAAGUAAUUGGCAGCCAGUGUUUUGGUUUUGAAGCGCAGCACAAGUCGCGAUUCAAGGCUAUACGCCAGCUUCCACAAGCCUUUUUCACUUUUGACCUCGGUUCAGGUAGGGAUACCCGCUGAACUUAAGCAUAUCAAUAAGCGGAGGA